CCUUGCUGCCCUCAUGGUGUUGAGCCGCCCUCUGAAUACGAAACAGAAUGGGAAAAGGCGUGCGAAAUACCUUGUCCCCUGAAAAAUGCAACGUAUUCUUUCUGAAUGCAGGAGGAUUUUGGCAAGGUGCUGGCUUGCUGUCACAGCCACUCUAAUAGGAACCAAGAAUAAUGGGAAUUUUUAAAAAUCGUUGUGUCGCCCUAUCAAAACUUGCCGCUGACACUACUCAGUCAUUUACCGUCACUUCCGCAUCCCGAAGGCCUCACGCUGAAAAGCAAUACCUAACACUCCUGUACUUGUCAUCUCUUCCUGGACAGACGUAAUUGAGGCCUCUCCACGCCAGGAUUUGCCGAGUGAGGUGCAAAUUGCCUGUUUCUGGAGAUCUGAAGGAAUUCCGGGUGGGAGAUGAGAGCUCCAGCCCACGGGGAGUGUCCCACACCAGACCCUCCGGCCACGGCCCUGCCACCUCCCGCUCCGAGACAAGGAGAUCUCCUCAAAUCCAGCGCCAGGAGCCGCACCAGGCGCUCCAGGAGGGAAAUGUUCGGAUUUCUCACGUGCGCAGAACGGGAGCGGUAAAUCUGACGAGCAGGGCGCAGGAGCUGCAGGGCCCGCAGGGGAGCGCGCAGGGCGGCUGCAGCGGGGCUGGGGGCAGCGGCAGAGCCACCCCUGCAGCACAAACGUCGCCUCGGAUCCCAGGGUCUCGGGGGUCUGGCAGUCGAGGUGACCCCACGAGUGCAGCGGUCCCGGUUUCCAGCCCGCGCGGCCAGAGGAGGAGUCGGAAUGCGCAGGGUCGGCUUCUCAAGGUUGUUUAUUUUCUCUUAUCUGUACCAUGCUUUCCCGAGGAGCUGCGGUCUGUCCAGCAGGUCGGUCCGUGACAGACUCCUGUCCCCUGGGCUGCUGUUGCCAUUUUUUACCCAAAACUGUGUGUGCUCUGUUUACAGUAACAUGCCAAUAUCUAUAAUCUGUGUUGGACAGUGUGUCUCUGCCUUAAAACAAUACAACAGUGUCACCAUCACAGCAAGAUGUGGAGGACAAGGAGAAGGAGAAGAAGGUCAGGACACACCAAAAUCCAUCCAUCUUGUCCCCUUGAACCCCAUUCUAAAAACCCCAA